UACGAAAUUCAGUAUAGGAAAGAACUGGACUGGUGGGGAAAACGGUGCAGUAAAGUCAACCACUCAGGAACAACUCUUUCAUUCUUGCUCCCAUCAGUUAUAUCAUCUUUGCUCCAAAAGUCAGACUCAAUAUCGCAGAUCUCAAUUGAUAACAGUCGCAAAAUCCUCUACACAUUAUCAGAGAAAGGGACCAUCGAUAUGUAUAUCCUCAGCUCAGAUUCUACGGCAACUUGCAAAGCUAGUUUACCGCAACAUGCUGUAAUUGAAUCAGCAAUCAGAUGUAUCAGGACUAUGGACAGAGUAGAACUUUGCAGCAUCGUAUCAAUUUGUGCAGUAGAAGAAAAAGAAUCCAAGAACGUUGGCCUUUUGGCGGUAACUCAAGCCGGUGUUAGAUUUUACUUUCAAUUAAUUUACAUGCAAGGGAGGUCUCCGAUCUGAAAUUGAUCCAUGUGCGAUUGCCACCAGGUUUCAUUGGGAGUGUUGUUUCUGUAAGACCAAACGAUGUUCGCCAAGCCUACUACAACAACGGUAAAUCUUAUUUGAAAUUUUGGAAAUAAUAGCAUCAAUGACAGUAGUUCAGUCCCAUAUAAGGAGUCUUCGGAGUUUCUCAAGGCAAAAAAAGGAGGUUUUUUUAAAACAGAAUAUACAAAUCAAUGAAAUUACUGCAGAAAAGAUUGAGACUUUGCUGGCCACUCUUGAAAAUUAUUCCUGCAAUGAAUCAAUCAUAAUUGUCUUAAUUAGUUAACUAGCACGAUCUCUAGUUUAACUCCACGGUGUUGUGGUGUUAGAAAACCAAAAAAGCUAGAUAAAAUUAAUUUUCCAAAAAAAAUUGGUGAAUCUAAUGAAAAAGACUGGAAGUUUUUCGCUUUGAUCGAUUUUUCUCUCAAGAGUUUUCACAACCCUCAAAACAUAGAACUUUGGAGUCAAUUCUACAAGUAAUGGUAGGUAUCAAUGGCAAAAGUGCAAAACCACAUAUCUCUGUUGACGAUGUAGCAAACUUCCUGUCAUACUUUAUUUGUUUUUUUGAAAACUGGCCAGUGUAAUUUCUUGAAAACGGACUUGAUUUUUCCUCACUGUCAGUAGAUCCUUGAUGGGAUAAGUCAGGGAAUUUUUCUCAUUCCAAGUGGGGAAAACACAGAAAAAAGUUGAAGAAUUGUCUAUCCUAAAAUCUGAACGAGCCCUUAAUCUUUCCAUUGGAUGUGCCUAUUGCCGACCUCAUCACCAUCACCCUCUUAAGUAAUUUCAUCUCAGGCGGUAAGGUCUCUUUUCCUGUGGAUAUUCACAUUCCAUGAUAUUUGCCUUUAUACAUUCAGCUCCUUCUUGCAGGUAUUUUCAUGGCACUAAGCACGGUCAAUGAAAGUCAAGACAAUCUUUGGUGUCUGAGCAGUGAAGAAUACCUCGCCUUUGAUGCUCCAAUCGAAGCUCAGGCUACCGCGAAGCUAGACGGUCCAGUGUGGCAAUUCUCUUGCGCUGAUGAAAUGACCAACAGCAAUGCAGCCAACUUUGUCUCUCUGUCUGCACAGGUAUGAAUUAAACUUGCAAGUGUAUUGAUAUUGCACUUGCCUGCAGGGUGUCUACAUUUCUCAAAAACCAAGAAUGGACCAUUCGACAAAGUGCGAAUUUAAGCACUCUGAUACAUGUUGCUGCUUCAAAAUUUCACAUCAAACAUGAUUCGCCUCUUGAAUCAAAUUGCGCAUUCCAACGGUUUUAGCAGACUUCUUAAUUAAGCAAGAGUCUUGCCUUGUGUUGUUCAUAGUUGUAACAAAACAAGCAACAGUUAAGUCGAAAUAACAAAAUUGAGGUUGCCAUAUUUUCAUACUGCAGAAACUGUUACAGUAACGUUUAGUGUACAAUUUGACCCAAUUAGACUCUUGUAUUUUGAGAGGAAGGUUAGAAUUUAAGUGUCAAAAAAUGUUAAAUUCAUAUCUCAGCUUCGAUUUGAUUUUAGUAAUUUUGUUGCUGCAACUGUGUUUUAUGUGAAAUUUUAAUCAGGAAUCAUGUCACAGAAUGCUUCAUUAGCACUUAGCCUUG
rnacentral:lncRNA from 1 species